rnacentral:rRNA from 1 species
GAUGAACGCUGGCGGCGUGCUUAACACAUGCAAGUCGAACGGAAAGGCCCAAGCUUGCUAGGGUACUCGAGUGGCGAACGGGUGAGUAACACGUGGGUGAUCUGCCCUGCACUUCGGGAUAAGCCUGGGAAACUGGGUCUAAUACCGGAUAGGACCACAUUUUGGAUGGUGUGGUGGAAAGUUUUUCGGUGUGGGAUGAGCUCGCGGCCUAUCAGCUUGUUGGUGGGGUAAUGGCCUACCAAGGCGUCGACGGGUAGCCGGCCUGAGAGGGUGUACGGCCACAUUGGGACUGAGAUACGGCCCAGACUCCUACGGGAGGCAGCAGUGGGGAAUAUUGCACAAUGGGCGCAAGCCUGAUGCAGCGACGCCGCGUGGGGGAUGACGGCCUUCGGGUUGUAAACUCCUUUCGCUAGGGACGAAGCGUUAUGUGACGGUACCUGGAGAAGAAGCACCGGCUAACUACGUG